CAGGGAGGCUUCUCUGCCUGGUGAUCCCAAGAGGACCUGCAACAGGUGCCCUGACUGGCUGAAGGAGGAGGCUGCCAGGAAAUCAGAGACUUGAAUUUGCCAGCUUACAACUCAAACCGGGAUGGGCAAACACGUUGCGAUACGGUGGUCACGGCUGUAAUCCAGAGAGAAUGCUCAGAAAUGGGAAACAGAAACGCAAGGCAGGAUGCCCCUUCGUGCUGGAAGUCAGACACCCCGUGUGUUCUUCUUGCCGCCCGCUGAGGUCUGAGACGGGCCCUGCUGUGAAUGACCCUGGGAACGGUGCCAGAGUUACCCAGACUUGGUGCGGACAAAAGAGCUCCCUUUCAGGGGCCCUGUGUCUUUGGACAGGUCACUAGACUUCUCUGAACCCGUUUGCUCAUUUCCAGGAAGGGGUAAGAUCUCUCUGACAGUUCAGGGGGUGGGCAAGAAUGAUGGGUGCCAAGCCCACCACCCCAGGCCCUGGAAAGGAAUCAGCCUCUCCAAAAAUGAUGGUUUUUAUUAUUCUCAUUAUUCUAGAAAAUGUCUUUGUGAAUUGUUUGCUUGAUUGAAACUUGUUUCUUUUUAAUAAAGUCUUGAUUUUAAAAAGCCCGAA